rnacentral:rRNA from 1 species
UACAGAGGGUGCAAGCGUUAAUCGGAAUUACUGGGCGUAAAGCGCGCGUAGGUGGUUCGUUAAGUUGGAUGUGAAAGCCCCGGGCUCAACCUGGGAACUGCAUUCAAAACUGACGAGCUAGAGUAUGGUAGAGGGUGGUGGAAUUUCCUGUGUAGCGGUGAAAUGCGUAGAUAUAGGAAGGAACACCAGUGGCGAAGGCGACCACCUGGACUGAUACUGACACUGAGGUGCGAAAGCGUGGGGAGCAAACAG